UUUCCUACGGGAGGCAGCAGUGAGGAAUAUUGGUCAAUGGUCGGGAGACUGAACCAGCCAAGCCGCGUGAGGGAGGAAGGUACAGAGUAUCGUAAACCUCUUUUGUCAGGGAACAAAGGCGGGGACGUGUCCCCGGAUGAGUGUACCUGAAGAAAAAGCAUCGGCUAACUCCGUGCCAGCAGCCGCGGUAAUACGGAGGAUGCGAGCGUUAUCCGGAUUUACUGGGUGUAAAGGGAGCGUAGACGGCGCGGCAAGUCUGAAGUGAAAGGCAGGGGCUUAACCCCUGAACUGCUUUGGAAACUGCC
rnacentral:rRNA from 1 species